rnacentral:sRNA from 1 species
CUGGGGCACCUCUAUAACGAUCUAGGCCUGGGCUACUCCCAGCUCCAGCUGUUCCCGCUGGCCGUGGAGGCCUUCCUGCAGGCCCUGCCCCUGUGCUGGGUGCCAGGAGAGCAGGCCACAGUGCUAAGAAACCUCGGGAUGGCCCACAAUGCCCUCGGCAACUAUCAGGAAGCUCGGGAGUUUCACCAGAAGGCUGCUGACCUACACGGCUCUGUGGGGCAGCGGUGGGAGCAGGGCCGGAGCUUUGGCAGCCUGGCCUUUGCAUUGAGCCAGCUGGGGGACCACAAGGCUGCCAGAGACAACUACCUGCAUGCCCUGCAGGCUGCCCGGGACUCUGGAGCCAGAUUCUGUGCGAGAACGGCUGGUGGCCAAGCUGGCAGACACCGUGAGGACGCGCUUGGCCCAGGUGGGGCUGGUCCAGACUCACACCCUGACUUCGGCUCCGGGAAGACUCCAGGCUCCAGGUGGGGCCAGCCAGGCGGAGGGGACCCCAGCAAAGGCAGGAAGCAGCACCGCAGGUGCCCAGCACAGAUCUUCCAGUGGGUGGGAAGAUGAAGAGUUUGAGGAGGGCCACCAGAAGAAAAAAGAGGAGAGGUCGGCAAACGUUCCGGUGAGGGCUGGGCCGGGAAGACCAGAGCGUGAGUCGAUGUA